rnacentral:tRNA from 1 species
UUGUGUUUUAGUGUAAUGACGCAUAUGAAAUUUUGAUUUUCAGGGUUAAGUUUAAUUCUUUUUUCACAAU